GUGCUGAAGGAGGGGGCUGCGGCCCAUCAGCUAGUUGGUAGGGUAAGGGCCUACCAAGGCGAGGACGGGUAGGGGGCCUGAGAGGGUGACCCCCCACACUGGGACUGAGACACGGCCCAG
rnacentral:rRNA from 1 species